rnacentral:lncRNA from 1 species
AUAGAUGUUAGAGUAAUAGAUGCUGUAUCAAGGAGAUUGUGUCAAGGAGAUAAUCUAAAGAUUAUCUAAGCUUUCAGUGGUUGCCCUUCUUGGAUUACACACCCCAUUGUGAUCACUCUGUGCCCAUCUUAGAUAUCCUUCAUCUUUGCUUUUUGGCUAUUCCGUUGCCAGUAAGACUUGGGUACAGCCAGAUAGGGAAUUUAUUUUUUUUCUGCAUCACUUUAGGCUAUUCCCACUCUCACACUGAAGUUGUACCAUCCCUAAAAUGACAAAUUUCAAGUCAGAAGAAAAGAGAACAUUUCAAAAUGAGCAAAAACUACUGUUAGUUUGUCCCAAGUCUUUCCUGGGCUUUCAGCUUUCUUUCCUUUAUUUUCAAGACUUACUCUUCAUGAAUUCACUGAUGUCCUGUUUUUGACAACCCAGGAGUAACAAGCAUAAGCAUUUGAGAGCAAUAUGAAUCGAAUAAAAAGAUGCCAUUCAAAAGUUCAUGCUACCUUCUCACAGGUCUCAUAUCGAUAAUGCCAUGAGAGACCAAAGACCAAGCCAUGCAAACAACUCCAAUAAGACUUGUAGGUCAAUCCCUGAGAAAUGUAAGGAGAAAUGUCGUAAGGAUGAUUUCAUGAGGAUAAUACUGAAUGAACCCAACAAGGAUACUUCAGCAAGCCAAGGGCAUUUUCUAGUAAAUGUGAUUGCCUGCACCAUACAACGCUCCUUUUCCAUAAUGGCUGGAAUAAAAAUGAAAGUAUGCAACAGCACCUUCAAGGGAAAUCGAGAGAGUAAACCUGAAGCAGACUGUGAGUGGAUGUGA